rnacentral:rRNA from 1 species
GACGAACGCUGGCGGCGUGCCUAAUACAUGCAAGUCGAGCGGAAUGAAGAAGAAGCUUGCUUCUUCUGAUUUUAGCGGCGGACGGGUGAGUAACACGUGGGCAACCUACCUUGUAGAUUGGGAUAACUCCGGGAAACCGGGGCCAAUACCGAAUAAUCCAUUUUGCUUCAUGGCGAGAUGUUGAAAGACGGUUUCGGCUGUCACUACAAGAUGGGCCCGCGGCGCAUUAGCUAGUUGGUAGGGUAAUGGCCUACCAAGGCGACGAUGCGUAGCCGACCUGAGAGGGUGAUCGGCCACACUGGGACUGAGACACGGCCCAGACUCCUACGGGAGGCAGCAGUAGGGAAUCUUCCACAAUGGACGAAAGUCUGAUGGAGCAACGCCGCGUGAGUGAAGAAGGUUUUCGGAUCGUAAAACUCUGUUGUAAGGGAAGAACACGUACGAGAGUAACCUGCUCGUACCUUGACGGUACCUUAUUAGAAAGCCACGGCUAACUACGUG